AGUGAACGCUGGCGGCAGGCCUAACACAUGCAAGUCGAGCGGCAGCGCGUCCGACCACCCUCGGGUGGUCGGAUGGCGGCGAGCGGCGGACGGGUGAGGAAUGCAUCGGAAUCUGCCUCGUUGUGGGGGAUAACGUAGGGAAACUUACGCUAAUACCGCAUACGACCUACGGGUGAAAGUGGGGGACCUUCGGGCCUCACGCGAUGAGAUGAGCCGAUGCCGGAUUAGCUAGUUGGCGGGGUAAAGGCCCACCAAGGCGACGAUCCGUAGCUGGUCUGAGAGGAUGAUCAGCCACACUGGAACUGAGACACGGUCCAGACUCCUACGGGAGGCAGCAGUGGGGAAUAUUGGACAAUGGGGGCAACCCCUGAUCCAGCCAUGCCGCGUGUGUGAAGA
rnacentral:rRNA from 1 species